rnacentral:rRNA from 1 species
AUUGAACGCUGGCGGCAGGCCUAACACAUGCAAGUCGAGCGGAUGAAGGGAGCUUGCUCCUGGAUUCAGCGGCGGACGGGUGAGUAAUGCCUAGGAAUCUGCCUGGUAGUGGGGGAUAACGUCCGGAAACGGGCGCUAAUACCGCAUACGUCCUGAGGGAGAAAGUGGGGGAUCUUCGGACCUCACGCUAUCAGAUGAGCCUAGGUCGGAUUAGCUAGUUGGUGGGGUAAAGGCCUACCAAGGCGACGAUCCGUAACUGGUCUGAGCGGAUGAUCAGUCACACUGGAACUGAGACACGGUCCAGACUCCUACGGGAGGCAGCAGUGGGGAAUAUUGGACAAUGGGCGAAAGCCUGAUCCAGCCAUGCCGCGUGUGUGAAGAGGGUCUUCGGAUUGUAAAGCACUUUAAGUUGGGAGGAAGGGCAGUAAGUUAAUACCUUGCUGUUUUGACGUUACCAACAGAAUAAGCACCGGCUAACUUCGUG